ensembl:lncRNA
AAAAACUUUAUUGUCUUAAAUAUCAAAGGUUUUACACAUCACGUUUUCUUCAGAAAGUUCCUAUUAAAGAAGAAAAAUAAAAUAAAGUGUUUGGAUUAUUCAGGGCUGACUUACAUUUCAAAAUAUGACAAAAAAAAAAAACAAAAACAAAAAAACAAAAAACAAAAAAAUCAAACUCAAAGGCAUCUAGUGCGUUCAGCUGCAGACAGUCCUAACCAGUUAGCACACACAGCGACUGACCUUGGGAUUCCUGAGUGCAGCUUAUCAGUUCUCAGUUUUCCCAACUCUCAAAGCAUCUGGGCAUGGCUGGGUGGGCCACUCGCAUGCAGAUUUUGCUAACCAGACUAGAUCUCAAAAGACGUAGUGUCAAAGCUUAAGGAGAAGCCAGAAAACCUCAUGACACUCAGGCAACUGCAGGAAGCCAAAGAGGGCUUCCUAGUUACAAUCUGUCAACUGUGGCUAGAAAACCAGGGAACCUUUGCUGGGGGUUGAAGCCAUCGGGUCCAGGUUGCCAUGGAGAGAUCUGGAUACAAAUGCACUAAUAGUUUCCCAAGGAAAGUACAUGUAGAGGAGAUUCACCCAACGCAACAGAUUCCCUCUGAUGUCUCACCAGAGUGAACGCACGCCCGGGGGAUACAGGGAGAGAGCACAAGCCUCGCUAGUCGGGUGGAAGAGUGUGAGGCCACAUGUCUUCCGGGUUAUAAGGACUGCUCAGGGAGCCCGUGAACACACAUCUGGCUGGCUCCUGUAGGGACACAGGUCUGUUCUGCAGGUCACAGACACACUCAUUCAAGUUUGCAGGUUUCAGGCAACCAAACCCUGCCCAUCACCUGACAGGGCAAAGGGGACACGCCCCUCACCCAAGUCACCCAAUCAAAACCUCCUUCGGCUGCUUAAUCACAGUAAGAAGCCGUCUGAUCUCAUGCUCGAUGCCUUCCGGUCUGUGGUCCACACUUUGCAGGUAAAGAAACUCCUAUGCUGAUCCAUCGUUUUCUUGGUAAGUUUGACCCAGAUGGUGUCCUAAAACUCACCCAGCCUCCCUCCCCCAUUUCACAAACCCCCAACCCUCACGUUUAAUUACUGAACAACUUUUAAGCAUAUUUCCUAACCGGAAAGCUAUGCUUCAGGGGUGCACACACCCGCUAUCCUAAAUGGAGGGUUGAAGUCUUGUGGAGCUGGCAGAGCAAUCCUGUCUGCCCAUCCCAACACCCGGUCACUUCUGCUCCGGAUUCUCUUGUCCACACUGCACAUCCUGCAGAGGCCUCGGCUGAGUUCUGCUCCCUGGGGGUUGGCGGGGUUACACUCGCCUAUCUUAAGUGCUGCAUGGGACCCUGCGUCCUGAAGGGAAACAGCUAUCCCCCCAGUUCCUUCACGGGACACCUCUCCUGCCUGUGCCUUCCUGUCCACAGCUUUAUACACCAACUCCUCAGCAUCUUCAGUUAUUUCUACUAAUCUUUUAAAAAAAAAUCCUUUCUGUGCAGUGUUGGGAGUCAAACCCAGGGCCUUGUACAUGUCAGGCAAGUGCUCUACCACUGAGCUACAGUUGACCCUUUACCCACUCUUAAGUGACAGGGUUUCAUGUAACCCACGCAGUCAAGAAUGACCUUGAACUUCUGCUUCUCUCUCCUGUCUCCAGUGCUGGGAAUUACCGGCACCCCGCACGUGGCUUAUGCAGUGCUGGGGGCUGGGCUGAGGACUUCCUGCAGCUAGGCAAGCAUUCUGCCUACCACCGUGCUAUUGCCCUACACCCUCAACUGUUUUUAUUCAUUUUUUUGAUUUAAGACGGUUCCUCUCUGUAGCCCUGACUGGCCUUGCACUUACAGCUUAAAGGUGUGUGGCACCACACCAGCCCCCAAUUGUUUAAAACAACACUAAAACUAAGCACUUUAGAGUACAACUCUAGGUUUACAGCGUUGAAUUCCAUCAUGGGCUUGUUUUCUCCCCCUCCCAGUGGGCUCUAACCUGCAACCAUAUAACAAAGUUUAAAAAUGAAAGCAUGCUACCUGGAUAUUACAGAGUGUGCCUACGACUUCGUGAACCCAGCUACUUUAGGAUUGCUAGUUCAAGGCCAGUUUGGGCUGUAAGAAGUCUCCUCAAAAACAAAAGCAUGCCGGGGCGGGGGUGGAAUAGCAUGCUAAUAGGAAAAACAGAUCUUAGUUCAAAACUGCCCCGUAUCUCCCCGAAGGCUUCGAAGCCCAGGCUCCUGUCUGGUUUGGCUGCUGCUGAGCUACAGUCCAUGCUUGAUGAACACUGAUGAACCCUUGCUCAUGCUGCAUAGCUUUGAUGGGAGGAGUAAGAUUUGGUCUCUCCCUAUCACAGCACAAAAGGUGCAACAGAAAACAAGAAACACUAGAAACCAUUUUUUGGUAUACAGGAUGCAGAAACUCCUACCCGGGAAAACCUAAUGUUUGAAGCAGGCAAGGGUGAAUCAAAGUGGUAAGGAGCCAAGGACCACAUCUAGUGGCAGUCAGUCCUCUCCAGGAGGGCUGCCCUCUAACCUUUCCCCGAUACUCCCAAGAUGUGAUGCUUCUGCUAUUCAAAAAAAUUAAGGCACGAAAGAAAAGCAAGUACAUCAAAGGCUCACCCCAAAGUCCUUACUGCGGCUCUACAGACACUCUGGGAGUCAGGUAAUUCAGAGGGGAUGUAGGAAACACCAAAUGCUGUUAUGUUAACUACUGAGAGAGGGAAAUUACAGGGUUCUAGUCAGCCUCGGACUUUAUUAAAUCCCAAGACUGACUUUUACUUUUUCCGGUGGUAAGGAUCAAACCUAGGACCUCACAUGCUCCCCAGGAGUUCCACCAAGCCGCACCCCUCGGCCCUAUGGGCUGCUAGUGAUACACCAGCCAGUCGGCCACAUUGUUUAUGCCCACCACAGGUAGCCACUGGAAUGCGCUGAGUGAACUGGGCAUUGCUAUGUGCACCUGCGAUCCUAGCAUCCUAAAGGCCGAGGCAGAGAAACCGCCAUGAGCUUGAGGCCAUCCUGGGUUAUGGCGAGAUCCUGUCUCAAAGAAAACACAAGACAGAAAAGGAAACUUGCCUAGACGCUCGUGUACUGCCCUGUCCAAGGCAGUUUACUAUGUACAGAGUAGGAAGAAAAGCCACCAGGCGUGCAGGUAUCUGUAGACACAAGAGCUGCUUUUCAACCUAUGUAAAGUAUUUAUCAAUCACCUUAGAUUUGAGAUAGCUUAGUAUUUAUUUAUAGACAUGAGCUGAAAAGUUGAAACAAAUUCUUAUGGCUUCCGCUAGAGAUAGAAAGCUGUAGAGAGGGACUAACAGGCAGAUGCUAUGCAAGCCAGUCAAAAUCCACGACACCAGGUCCCCUACCUAUUCCUAGGCAUCAUCUUGCCAGGAUGUUUUGGGUAGACACCCAGGGCUGUCUCUCCCCUUUCCUGCGUCUAGAGAUGACCAGAGGCAGAGGUUCUCACACACCACUAACCAUCCACUAAAGCUUCCUUUGCCAGGCACCUACUCCUGCCUUCACCCGUCAGCAUCUGGAGCUCAGCCCGCCAGAGGAAGGCUUCGGCCGCUGCAGAGGGCGGCCAGCACGUCCUGAAAUGGCCCUUCCCAGAAUCAAAGGGCCCUCUCUCCCGCCCUUCAGCUUGUGUCUUCAGUUUUACAAGAAAGCCCUUCGGUGCGUGAAUGGAGACCGCUGCAGGAGGUAAGCAGCCACCACGGAACACCUGACAAGGGUCUGGACCAGGAGCUGCCCUUGCCGUUAGUUACAGGUGUCAUCUGGCUGGCUCAGCACUAGGUUUCACAAUGAUGUCAUUGUACUCUUGGUAGAGUGACUAAGUGAAAGCUGACUCUGAAGUGCCACUAAUGUGAUGUUGUCCACAAUGUCCUCUGUCCUCUCGCUCAGUUUAAGCCAAUCAAUUAAUAACAAAUUCCUAACUUUAUACAAACUUCAGACGAAAGAUUUUUUUUUUUAAAUCUCCUUUUGAAAAGACAGGGUCUCACUAAUGAACUCAGAGUUCAUUAGUGAACACUCCUAGAGUGAAAGGUGUGUCAGCGUGCCUGGCCUUCGAUUUUGCUUACAUUUGACAGAUCUUAAGAAUCAAAAGCAACUAUCUGUUGCAAAGAAAACCACCAAAGGAACAAAGGAUUUGGCAAGUGCAUCAAGCUCAUUCAAAGGAUUCCUAGGAACGCCUGUACAAUCAUUGGCCCAUCAAACUGCUUCUAAAAUGGUUAUUUUUAGACAAGUACAUAUGUAAAGGCUAUUGUAAAGAAAACUUUUCCAGACUGGAUUCUAUAAUCCAGCUAGGGCUGCUCCCCAGCAAGCGUCCGUGGCGGAGUCAGUGGCCACACCGACUUUGCAUGCCGAUCUCUUCUGCCUUCUGGGAGGAGUCUGUCAUCAGUACUUCCUUCUGUCCACCCCACCCUGUAACCCCAAAGAUUUUUGACUCUAAAAUUCACCCCCUCCCCACCUCAAGCCAAUGCCAGGCGUCAACGCACUGCCUGCUUCUGCCUCUGCCUCAGGCUCUGCUCUGAGUCAGGUGACAGAAUCCUGGGAGCACUUUCCUAGUGAAUCACACAUACAUCUUUGGUGUAGAACAGGCAAAAGGCGGACAUGCCGUGCUCAUCUGACAAAGCUUUUCUCAAAGAUAGCUCGGCUAGCCUGAUGUUCUGAGGGCCCGAUGGAGAGAGCAGGAAGCCACAAGGCCAUCCGGCAACCAUGUCCUAAUUCCAGAAAGGAUCAUGAUGCUUGGUGUGACUUGCCACCAUGUCACUGAAGUGCCUCGGCACACAAACAAUGCAGCAAAAAGAACAGACCAAAGAACAGAGACCCCUGUCAGUGCCCCCAAUGCUCCAAAACUCCUGAGACAUGAACCCGUCUGUGCUCGAGGACUUCAAUUUUGAUGGAUUUAAAAAAAAAAAAAAA